AGAGGACUUCUGGCUUUUUUCCAGGGUACCUGACUGUCUUAUUGCAUACUGGUGUCAUCCAGGGCAUCCAACAUGAAGAUGUCUAAUGUUAACGAUAAAGAAAAUUACUUCCCUGUGAUCAGGAUUGGAGUGAGCACAAGUGGCAUCACUGUUCUGUCAGUUUCCCAGGCAUGAUGGAACAGCCCAAAUUCCAGCUGAUCUGCAAACCUGUGCACUUCCCUCUGUAGCUGUAGUAGCAGUGUGGUGGAUUGCUUGUCUGUCCUUCUACCAGACUUACCACAGAGUCUAUUUGGCAACAUUUAAAGGCAAAUUAUGUUUUCAUUCCAGGGAUUGCAAGGGGAUGUUAUGGAGAGAGUAUGGUUCCCAAGCAGCCCUGUUAUCAAUAGGCAGCUAAGAAGGUACAUUAGGAACUUAGAAAUAUUAAAUGCAUCAGGAAGAAGAAAAAAAUUGAAUUACUGUGGUGUUUUCAACCAGAAUUUCAACUCCUGGUUUUGACAUUGCCAGGCUAUGGACACCAAAGGGAGCUGUGCUUUCCAGGAGGCUCCUGGGUUUGGUGCCUACACCACUCAAAGCCAGGACUUUGCUUCAAAUCUCCCUUUUGGGAUGAAAAGAGGGCUGCUCCAAGGCCAUGGAUUGAGGACUGAGCAAGUCCAGUUCACAGUUUUGAA